AUUUUUGUUAACUUCGCUUUUCUGUCAUCUUUAACUGGAUUUGAUUAAUAAUUCAAUUAGUUGAAAAUGGGAUUUGGUUCACUUCCAUUAACCGGCAUAGGGAGGUAGCAAUGGAGCAUUCACGUUUCAUACACAGGAGGCAGCUGGACAAUGAUCCCCAAUGUACCAUUCCAUAAUAACUCCCCUGCUCACUCAACUCAGGAACAAUUUUACCUCCACCAACAAUCCCAACAGCAGCAAUAAUUCAAUCAAUUCCAACAACAGCAGCAGCAGCAGAAUCAGCGUCACCAGUCGCUCGCCUCUCACUUCCACCUCUUGCACCUGGUUGAGAAUUUAACUGAAGUUAUUGAGAAUGGAACUCGGCAUCAGCACUCCGAUGCUUUGAUUUUAUUUAAAUAUUUUUGGAAAGAUUACUGAGUUGAACAUAUCACUUUGAGAAGUGCCAGCAGU
rnacentral:misc_RNA from 1 species